rnacentral:lncRNA from 1 species
UUUUAGGGCUGUUUGCAGGCUAGAAAAAAGAGAAGGUUGAGCCUCUGAACAAAGAACAAGGGCAUUACACAGUUAAACCCUUUGAAGAGGAAUUCAUCAUCUCAGGCAAGCAUGAACAAACCUUUGAUCACCCAACCUUGAUGAGCUGGAAGGGGUAUCUGUUGAGUCUCCUCUUGGAUUUCAAAUCUCCCUGAUUUUUUGGUUUGAGAUCCAUACUAUAUUCAAAUGACCUGACUUCAUGCUCAAGGGGGAUUAAAGUUCUACUUUAAACCUUUAAGAGGAAAUCUCUGAAGAAAUCGUGGAUGGAAAUCCUGGCCAGUUACAUUCACUGAACCUUGAAACAAUUGUUACAAGAAACUCAACACGCCUGACUCAGGGUUACUGUUCAUUCUUCUGGAAGCUGCAGAGAAAGGGAACCUGGAAACCUGAUGCAAAUAAUCCACCAAGGUCAAUGUAUAUGAAGACUUCAAGAUGGCUUGCCAAACGUAUCCGGUACUCACCUCCCCCAUAAAGAAGAACCAAAAGAAAUCACACUUCCAAUAGAGCACAUAAGAGAGAAUGCUGAAAUUCAGUAGAGAAAUCACAGCUACAGGAGAGCCCCUCAACCUACAUGGGCCCUGAGACUAACGUAGAGAGCUGCCUGGAGACUGUGUGUUGGCAACCCAUGUAGCCUCCAGUCCUAAACAGCUAUAGCGAGGCACCAUUUUGAGAGCCUCACCCUGAGGCUGCAUCCUGUUCUGAAGCCCAGCAGACCCUGAAUCUCCACAACCCUGUAGUUUCAUUGACAUGCCCUGCCUGCAGCCACGGCCAAAGCAUAAGCCAUUGGCAGCAACCCUGCUGCCCCUGGCAACAGGGCCACUGUGCAUUUACAAGUGCUCCGAGGAAAGGCUUCCCCACUUGAAGCUGUCACCUGGGACUGAAAUGUGUACUCCCCAGCUGCCGGUUUAUAACUGUUGCCACUGAAAGCAACCCUGCUCUUCUCUGCAGCAGGGUCACAGCACAGAAGCUUGUACCACACAACCAGUCAUGUUGCCAGGAGCACCUGGAGGUCCAGGAAUUGGCCCAUCUGAAACUGCUAACAUUGGUGGCAGUGUACGCUAACUCUGGGGCCCAGGGAUAGGCACGCUCAGCCUGCCACUGCCACCUCUGGGCUCUGAGGACUGACCCAUCUGAUGUCCCUGUCCAGCAAAAUUACCACAGCCUCCACUAAAAAUUAUGCCCUAAACCCCUGAGGAUAUCACAGACACUAUUCAUGCUGUUUAUAGCCAAAUAAAUCAAAUGAAGAUUACUACUGCAUGUACCCAGAAUCAAAGCCAAAUUAUGCUGCCCAACCAAUACCACAGAUGCAUCUUCAGGAAAGUCCCCUCCUACAAAAGCAAAUUCAAAAAAAUGGAAAGACAUGACUGUUACACCAGAUGUGCAGACAUCAGUGUAAAAAUACAAAAAAAAAAAAAAAAAAAAAGAGAGAAAGCAAGGAAAUGUGACGUCUCCAAAGAAUCACAAUAAUUCUCUAGCAACAGAUUCUAAAGAAAAACAAAUUAUGAAAUCCCUGGAAAAGAAUGAAACAUAAUGAUAUUAAAGAAGUUCAGUGGCAUACAAGAAAACUCAGAAAAACAAUACAAAGAAAGCAGAAAAAAAAGUCAGGAUGUGCAUGAGAACUUUACCAGUGAUCGGUAUCAUAAAAAUGAAACCAACAGAAAUUUUGGAGCUUAAGUAACCAUUGAAUAAAAUACAAGAUACAUUCAAAAGCUUCAAAAAUGGACUAGAUGAAGAAGAAAUAAUUUUAGAACCUGAAGGCAGGUCUUUUGAAAUAAUCUAGUCAGACUGAAACAAAACAAAACAAAACAAAAAAAGAAAUAACAAAGUCUAUGUGACAUAUGGGACACUAUAAAGCAACCAAAUAUCCAAAUAUUUGGUGUCCCAGAAGGUGAAGAGAAUAUGAAAACAAUAGAAAGCCUAUUAAAUGAAAUAAUAGUUGAAAAUCUCCCAAGUUUAGCAAGAGGCAGAAGAUUGCUUGAGCCCAGGAGGUCAAGGAUGCAGUGAGCUAUGAUCAUACAAUUGUAUUCCAUAGCCUAGGUGAGAGAGGGAGAUUCUGUCUCAAAAAAUAAAAAGAAAAAAACAAAAGAAUCAAGCUAUGUCCAUUAAUGGAUGAAUGGGUAAAGAAAAUGUGAGGCCGGGCACAGUGGCUCACACCUGUAAUCACAGCACUUUGGGAGGCUGCGGCAGGUGGAUCACUUGACCUCAGGAGUUGGAAACCAGCCUGUGCAACGUGAUGAAACCACACUUCUACCAAAAGAUACCAAAAUUAGCUGAGUAUGGUGGCAUGCACCUGCAUUCCCAACUACUCAGAAGGCUGAGGUGGGAGAAUCGCUUGAACCCAGGAGGCGGAGUUUGCAGUGAGCCGAGAUCGCGCCACUGCACUCCAGCCUGGGCGACAGAGCGAGACUCCAUCUCCAAAGGAAAAAAAAAAAAAAAAAAGAAAGAAAAUAAAAUGUGGUAUAUAUACACAAUGGAAUACCAUUCAGCCACAAAAAAGAAUGAAAUUCUGUCAUUUGCAGCAAUAAAGAUGAGCUGAAGGUCGUUAUGUUAAGUGAAAUAAGCCAGGCACAGAAAGACAAAUAUUGCAUGUUUUCACUCAUACGCAGGAGCUAAUAAGGUUGAUCAUAUGGAAGUAGAUAGUAGAAUGAUAGUUACCAGAGGCUGGGAGGAGUAGGUGGGUGGCUGUGGCGGUGAAGAGAGGAUGGUUAAUUAGUAUAAACAUACAGUCAGAAGGAAUAAAUUCUAAUAUUUGAAUUGUAAUAUUCUAAUACAAGUGUAACAUGACUAUAGUUAACAAAAACCUAUUGUAUAUUUCAAAACAGAAGAGAGGACUUGAAAUGUUCCCUACAUACAAAAAAAGAUAGCUACUUGAGGUGAUGGAUACCUUAGAUUUGAUCAUUACACAUUCUAUGCGUGUAACAAAAUAUCACAUGUAACCUAUAAAUAUGUACAAAUAUUGUGUUAAAAAUACAUAAUAUGUGUAUUAAGGAGAAGAUAAUGUUUAACAAUUAAUAUAAUAAGAGGUAUACCACAAAGAUUAACACAAUAAAAAUAUGUAAGUCAGGAAUCAAUAUUAUUCUUAAAAAAAGAUAAUUAGUAAAAAAAAUCUUUGAAAAUAGAAUAAAUGAAUAUCUUUUUUACUAUUAUUUAACUUUAUAAUCAAAAUUUUUUGUUUGUUUAUUUUAUGAGACAGGGUCUCACUCUGUCUCCCAUGGCGGAGUGCAGUGGUGCAAUCUCAGCCCACUCCAACCUCUGCCUCCCAGGUUCAAGCAAUCCUCCCCCACCCUCAUCCUCCUGGGUAGCUGGGACUACACGUGUGCACUACCACACCCAGCUAAUUUUUGUAUUUUUUGUAGAGAUGGGGUUUUGCCAUGUUGCCCAGUCUGUCUGGUCUUGGACUCCUGAGUUCAAGUGAUCCACCCGCCUCAGCCUCCCAUAGUGCUGCAAUUACAGGUGUGAGCCAUUGCACCCAGCCUCAAAGUUUUAAUUAACAUAAUUUUUUGAAACAUUUGUAACAUUAUAUUUUCUUUUUCAAUUUUUAUGUCUUUUUCUUAAAAUACAUUAUCAUGCAAAUAGUUGCAUGUGCAUGGGUGCACAGAUGUAUGUAUUAUGAGCCAAAAACCAAGUCUCAGUAAUUUUAAAAGAAAUCAAGUGAAACAAUUUAUGCUCUCUGAUCACAAUUGAAUUAAAUUAUAAAUUAUAAAUCAACACUAAGAAUAAAUGGAGAAAUGUUCUCUAUUCAUGUGUGUGCAGACUCAAUAAUGUUAAGGUACCAAUAUCUUCAACUUGAUAUCUGGAUUCCAAGUAAUCACGAUUAUAAGUCACAAUGCAGGGUUUUUUUUAAGAAAUUAAUAUAAUUUGUAUAUAAGUAUAAUGAAAUGAGAAGAGCCACAAUAACAAAUAAUAAAAAGAUGAAAAAAGAUGAACAAAGUUGAAGGACUUACAAGCUCAAGACUUCUUAUAAAGCCAUAUUAAAAAAGACAGUGUGGUAUUGGUGUAGACAGACAAAUGGUCAAGGAAGAAGAGAACCCACACAUGUAUAGACAACUAACUAGCAACGAAUUUGCAAAUGCAAUUCAGCAGAGAAAUGAGUCUCUUUAACAAAUUGUGCUGGAAAAGUUGGAUAUAUGCAAUAAUGUGAAUUUUGAUCUAUGUUUUGUAUCAUAUAAAAAUAAUUAAAAAUGGAUCCUAGACAUAACGUAAAACCAAAAACUAUAAAACAUCUAGAAGUAAACCUUAGUGACCUUGGGUUAGGUAAAGAUUUUUUAUGUAUCACAACAAAGUCACAGUCUACAAAAGAACAGAUUGAUACUAUGAACUUCAUCAAAAUGAAAAUUUCUGUCUUUUAAUAGAUAUUGUUAAAAGAGUUGACAAUUAAGUCAUGGAUUGCGAGAAUGUCAUCUAUGUGAUAUCAUCUAUGUGAUAAAGGAUUUGUUCCUAGAAUAUAUAAGUAACUCUCGGAACUCAAUAACAUGAAAAUAACCCAAGAAAAAACCUGGCAAAAUACUGUUAUACCAAGGAAGAUAUAUGGAGAGUACAUAACCAUGUGAACAGAAGCUUAAUAUCAUUCAUCAUUAGGAAAAUGCAAGUCAAAACCAAAAUGAGAGAUUAUGAUAUCUAUUAGAAUGGCACAAAUUAAAAAGCUGACCAUACCAAGUAUUCGCAAAGAUAUGGAAAAAAACUGGAAUUGUCUUUUUCUUUUUUGACAUAGAGUCUCGCUCUAUCACUCAGGCUGAAGUGCAGAGGUGUGACUGUAUCUCCCUGCAGCUUCAACUUUCCAGGCUCACAGGAUCCUCCUGCCUCAGCUUCCUGAGUAGCUGGGACUAUAAGCACAUGCCACCAUGCCUGGCUACUUUAAAAAAUAAAAUGUAGGCCGCGUGCAAUGGCGCAUGCCUGUAAUCUCAGCACUUUGGGAGGCUGUGAGUGGAUCACCUGAGGUCAGGAGUUCGAGACCAGCCUGACUAAUAUGAUGAAACCCUGUCUCUACUAAAUACAAAAAAUAAAAUUAGCUGGGCGUGGUGGCACAUGCCUGUAAUCCUAGCUACUCAAGAGGCUGAGGCAGGAGAAUUGCUUGAACCUGGGAGGUGGAGGUGCAGUGAGCUGAGAUGGUGCCAUCGCACUCCAGCCUGGGCAACAAGAGCGAAACUCCGUCUAAAAAAAAAAAAAAAAAUUAGUAGAGACAAGGUCUCUCUAUGUUGCCUAGAAUGAUGGAAUUUUCAUACCUUACUAUUGAAAAUAUAAACUGCUAUAACUACUUUGAAAAAUAGUUUAGAAGUUUCUUUAAAUAUUCAAUAUAAACCUAGCAUGAUUAAUCUGUUUCAUUUCUAGCUAAUGUCCUUGCAAAGACUUGUACAUGAAUGUUCAUGGCAGCUUUAUUUGUAUUAGUCAUGACUUAGGGUUAUCAGACUAAAAAAGUGCAUAUAGUUAAAUAUGAAUUUCAGAUGAACCACAGAAAAUUUUCAUUGUAAGAAUGUUCUGUGCAACAUUUGGGAAAUAAAUAUACUAAUGGUUUUUUUUUUUUUUUUUUUUUUGACAGAGUUUUGCUCUUGCUGCUUAGACUGGAGUGCAAUGGCAUGAUCUCAGCUCACCGCAACCUCUGCCUCCUGGAUUCAAAUGAUUCUCCCGCCUCAGCCUCCCGAGUAGCUGGAAUUGCAGGCAUGUACCACCAUGCCUGGCUAAUUUUGUAUUUUUAGUAGAGACAGGGUUUCUCCAUGUUGGUCAAGCUGGUCUUCAACUCCCGACCUUAGGUGAUCCACCUGCCUCAGCCUCCCAAAGUGCUGGGAUUACAGGCGUGAGCCACUGCACCCGGCAAUACUAAUGGUUUAUCCAAGUAUCUGCUUAUCUGAAAUUCAAAUAUCACUGAGCUUAGCAUUUUCAACAAUGUAGAUGAUCAUAGAAGACAUUAUGCUAAUUGAAAGAAGCCAGUCACAGAAGGACAAAUACUGCAUGAUUCUACUUACCUGACUUAUCUUAAAUAGUCGAAAUCGUUGAAGCAGAGAAUAGACUGGUGGUUGCCAGGGGCUGAAGGGAAGGAGGAAAUGUGGAAUUGUUGCACAACUGGUAUAAAGUUUCAGUUAUACAAUGUGACUAAGUUUUCAAGCUCUGCUAUACAACAUUGUACUUAUAGUUAACAAUAUGGUAUUAUGUACCUUAAAAUAUAAAGAGAAUAGAUCUAUUGUUGAGUAUUCUUACCACAAACAAACCAAAAACUUACAGAAGAACACAAGAACAUUUUUGUAGGUGAUAAAUAGGUUGAGUAGCUUGAUUGUGGUGAUAUAGUGAGUAUAUGGUAUAUGCAUAUGUCCAAACUCUUCAAAAUGCAUAUAUUAAAUAUGUACAAUUUUCAUAUAUUAACUAUAUACUAAAAGCUUAUAUAUAUAAAUAUAGCUUAAGAAAAAUAUUGCAUUUCUAAGUUUUGUUAGAAAAAUUUCAAUUACUCAUAGAGGUACUAGUUUCACUCUUAAUUAUGUGCAGUGUAUUUUAUUAUCCAUAGGAUACUAUUGGAGGCUCACCAACUCUAAAUUGUUCAUGCAUAGUUCCUAUCACUACCAUUUUCAAAUACCAAGUAGAAAAGACCUACAUGAGUGAUGUAUUAAACAAAGAAAUAAACAAUCCACAAACAUUUCUUGAGUAUCUAUUAUAGAAACAGCAUCCAAGGAAAUAAUUGGAUAAAGAAUAGGAAAGGUUUUUGUUUGUCGGUUUGUUUUUAUCUUCCGGAUACAUAAUAAAUUACUUGUCAGUUUUCUGUCAAGAAAUCUAUUAAGCCAAAAGGUUGUAAGAAUGCACUGAGUUGGUUGUGAGGGUGGUAGCAAAUAAUCUUACAAGAAAAAUUUUAAGACAAAAUAGAAAGAAUGAAUGGCAAAUUUACAAAUUUAGAGAUUGCUUAAGAUUUGUUCCAAUAAUGAAUAAAUAAAAGUAAAUUAAAAUGAAAGUUUAAAAACAAAACAAAUUUAACUGGUUACACUGUUUUAUUUUUUUCUCCUAAUUCUGGCAACCCUAUGCCCAUUAAUAGGAAAAUUUGAUAUUUUUGUGCAUUGUAUCACUACAAACGAAUAAAAAGAAUAAACUAUUGAUAUAUUCAAUAACACAAAUAAAUCUCAAAAUAAUUAUUGAGUGAAAAAAGCCAGAGAAAAAUCAAUGGUAGUAUAAUUCUAUUUACAUAAAAUUCUAUGAAAUGAAAAGUAAUGGACAGUGACAGAAAGCAGAUUAGUGGUUGCCAAGGAAUGGGAGAAGGGGCAUAGUGCAGGUGCAGAUAGUUAUUACAAGGAGAAAAAAAAUUGGGGGGUUAUUGGUAUGUUCAUUAUCUCAAUUGUGGUGCUGAUUUUCACAGGUGUAUACCUAUGUUUAAACUCAUCAAAUUAUACAUUUUAAAUGAAUGCACAUUAUUUUAUGGCAAUAGUCUCUUAAAGUUAGUUUUAAGUAAAUAAAAAUUCAAAAAGAAGAAAAUAAAAAUAAAAUUUAAAAUUCAAUAACAUUCUUACUUGUUAAAGGUAGGUAAAGAAAGUUAAAAACUAAAUGUAUAUAAAUAAAGAGGUGUGGUUUUUAUAUAAAAAUACACAUAUUCUCAUAUAAAAUAAAUAAUUUAAAUGAACACAUUACUUGUUCAUGAAAGGGAAAAGGCAUUUUGUAGUUUAAUGUAAAUUUCAGCAGCCCGGCAUAGUGGCUCACGCCUGUAAUCCUAGCACUUUGGGAGGCCAAGGCAGGAGGAUACCUUGAGCGCAGGAGUUCGAGAUUGGCCUGAGUAACAUAGGGAGAUCCUAUCUCUGUUAAAAAGUAUAUAAAUAAAUAAAUAAAUUUUAGCAGAAUAAUUAUGAUUUUUUAAAAGUUUAAAUUAUUCUCAAAUCUGUUUAUAAUACCAAGUGUCUAGAAUUCUAAAAUAUUUGUUCAAAGAAGAAAAAUAUGAAGUAUACAGUUAGAGAAAACAAGAUGUUAAAUAUUUUGCAAGAAACUAAGUAAUAAUUUUAUGUUUUCAUUUAACACAAAUACAUUAGACAUAUAUUAUUUGACAGUUAUUCUUGGAGUCACUGCUACAAAAAUAAAAAAUAUGUCAAAGUUACUUUCUUGGGCUCAUAUUCUAUAGGUGGUAAUAGUAAAAAGUAAAUUCAAGAAAACAAUAUAAUUCCUGACAAUGUACAUUACUAUGGCAACAAAAAGGCCAGAAGUAACAGAAGAAAACGGAAGUGAAGUGUAUUAUUCUUCAUAGGAUGUCUGGGUAAGGUCUUUUCGAAGAGGCAAUGCGUGAUUUCAAAUUUGAAUGGAGGAAAGGAGAAAACCACUCACUCUCUGAAGAACAUAAUUUCAGUCCUGGGUAAAAAGUUUGGCAAACUUGAAGACAACCAUGAAGACUACUGAGUUUGAAGCCCAAUCAGUGAGAAAAAGAAAAAAAAAAAUCGUGAGAAAGGAGCUCAGAGAGGUAGUCAGAAACUAGAUUACAAGAUAUCCUACAGGCAAUGAUUGGACUUUGAAUUUUAUUUAUUCUAAGAGUAAUAGGGAAG